rnacentral:lncRNA from 1 species
AUGCAUUGUGGGUACCUGUGCCUCCUGUCCCUGUUGGGGACCGUCUUGGUGGCUGGAAGGUCAAUCAGGAAGCGUAAUGCUGAAAUGCAGAGCGUCAUUGAGAACCUGCUGGAGGCGCUGAGCAAAUACAGCAGCGACAUUUCAAACGACGGCGUGCCUGAUAUUUCUUGCACGGAGCAGUUUGAAAACUCAGGAAAGUUACAGGAUGGAGACUCUAACCACAAGACCACGUACCUCAACCUCUUGCAGUACCAGAAGCAUGUUGAAGCCCUGCAUCGUCUUCCAAGCAGAGCCUCUCUGCAGGAAGCUGCUGUCAUGAACCAGGACCUGCUGCAGCACCUGGUGAGUCCCUGCAUGCUGAGCGGAGCCGGAGCCGUUUCAACAUCCGUCCAGUUCAGGGAUCUUCUCCUGCAUGUAGUGGGAGAUGUCAGCAAAAGCUCAGUUUUCCUCAAAUAUUCCCCCUUUAUAGUUUUUUUUAU